rnacentral:misc_RNA from 1 species
AGGUAAUAUCCAUCGACAGACGGGACAAUUCGGGUGCACAAUCUAUGCCUAUGACUGUGCAGUAGGGCAUACUCUUCUCGACCACUUGUCUGGCGCCAACCACCACUAUUGUCUCGCGAAGGCCAAGCUGUAAAUCUUCGUUGCUUAUACCGUUUUCUUGAAACGACGUUGCGACACAAUCUUCCAGUGUGAGUGGUAGCUUAUUCG